AAUAGAAGAAUGACAAAUUAGAUUUUUUUCUCUUGAUUUUUAGCUUUUUCCUCCUGAAAAAAAUCAAAUCUAACUAAAAAUACUAAAAAUCAAGAGAAAAUAUCUUAUUUAUCAUUUUCUUAUU
rnacentral:pre_miRNA from 1 species